CAAAUACUCCCUCCGUUCGGAAAUACUUGUCAUCAAAAUGGAUAAAAGGAAAUGUAUCUAGACGUAUUUUAGUUUUAGAUACAUCUCUUUUUAUCCAUUUUGAUGACAAGUAUUUUUGGACGGAGGGAGUAGAAA
rfam:Triticum aestivum genome assembly, contig: Triticum_aestivum_CS42_TGACv1_scaffold_491153_6AS